AUAUAUAUAUAGGGGUGCACUCCAGUGAGACCCCCCUUUAAGUGUUAGGACUAAGAUACAAUAUAAACCAUAUGAUCUGAUAGAUCCAACCGUCUAGAUUGAUUUGGUAUUUUUAAUCUAUUUUUUAUUAAUGUCGUUUUAUAUUGUGUUCACACUAUUAAAAGGACAUUUCAGUAACUUUCUCCAAAACGUGUCUGAACAACUCCCUCAAUUUUUGGAGGCCAAUUAAUUGCUGAAACUUACCGCCUCCUUUUUGACUUUUUGUUUAGACGGUAUUUUUUUAAUUGUUGGCCAAAAAAACUUUCCUUCAUUUUAACAUUUCGGCUACAGUACAUCAUUUGGUUCCUUCAUUUACCCUUUCUUCCUUAUGCAUUUAGAUUUAAGUACAACUUGGUGAACAAUAAAUAGACAAGUCUUAAUUCUUAUUCAAAAGCAUAAGAUUUAUAUUCAUUAUCAAAGGUUUGUUGUGCACCUAAAAAACUAAUUGUAAUAUGUUUUUGGUAGGAUGCUCCUUCGGUAGAAAAGGUUUUGGACAUGACUAAGGCCAUCGAUACGACAACUGUGAACACGGUAAUAUGCAUUUAAAGAUUGAAUAAUAUUCAGUACGUUUAGAAACGUUGUGCAUUGAGAAAUAUUUAUUAAGUUGUGCAAUUUUAAAAAAUUCAAUUCGUCAGAUAAAACAAGUAUUUUUUGUUGUGAUGGUUGUUAUAAAGCACAUGUUUUUUAUUCAUUAGCAAAGGAUGGUUGUGCACAUGAAAAAAAAAAAAUUGGUAGAAUCCUCCUCAACUGAAAUUGGAUUUGGA
rnacentral:lncRNA from 1 species